GAUCCAGCCAUGCCGCGUGUGUGAAGAAGGCUUUCGGGUGUAAAGCACUUUCAGUGAGGAAGAAGGCCUUGGGGCUAAUACCCCCGAGGAAGGACAUCACUCACAGAAGAAGCACCGGCUAACUCCGUGCCAGCAGCCGCGGUAAUACGGAGGGUGCGAGCGUUAAUCGGAAUUACUGGGCGUAAAGCGCGCGUAGGCGGCGUGAUAAGCCGGUUGUGAAAGCCCCGGGCUCAACCUGGGAACGGCACCCGGAACUGUCAGGCUAGAGUGCAGGAGAGGAAGGUAGAAUUCCCGGUGUAGCGGUGAAAUGCGUAGAGAUCGGGAGGAAUACCAGUGGCGAAGGCGGCCUUCUGGACUGACACUGACGCUGAGGUGCGAAAGCGUGGGUAGCAAACAGGAUUAGAUACCCUGGUAGUCCACGCCGUAAACGAUGUCGACUAGCCGUUGGGGUCCUUGAGACCUUUGUGGCGCAGUUAACGCGAUAAGUCGACCGCCUGGGGAGUACGGCCGCAAGGUUA
rnacentral:rRNA from 1 species